rnacentral:lncRNA from 1 species
ACAGUGUUCCAGCUUGAAUCUCAGGGCAGAAGGGUGCUACUUGUCUGAAAGGGCACUUUAGCGCAAUAACCCAAAUUGUAAGGGCACUGUUUGGCAGUGUAUUAAUAACCUUGAAUAUAUGUAUAUAUAUUGCUAGGCUCAGCUGCAGAACAUUACUUGUAUUUUAACCUUAUUCAGAAAUUAAUGUGUUCCAAGUGUUGGUUCCAGUAAGAUUUUUUUAUUAUCAAAUUAUCA